rnacentral:sRNA from 1 species
AUAAACUACGGUGGCGCAGUAUUCUAGUCAGCUCUAUCUAUUCCCAAGACGGGCCUAAAAAUCCGUUAAAGGGCAUAUCGAUGAAGUUUCUGGUGCUUGCUUUGAACGCCCAGUUCGGGGUUGGUGCUGGAAGUUAAGGCUUAGGGGCGGUCCGCAAUGGCAUGCGGGCGCCGAACCCCUUUGCCGCGGAGACCUAUGCUUGUGGCCGCCAAUGGGCGCGGCAAAAGCCGCGCUUAAGUGGCUACGACUUAGGAUAAAACCUGCAUAUCGGUGCUUUUUGUGCUGGGUGCAGAGUAGCCUGCCUUGAGUGGGAAGGGCUGGGAUAACGGACAAACCGGUACGGGUCGGCCAACCUAUGCCGGUCAUCGCUGUUUGAAACCCUGUCUGCAAAAGAGGCCAAGAGUAGAUUUGACUGCCGAGGAAACCUCCUAGACUGUUGCUUUGCUGGUUUGCAAGGGAUUGAAAUGCGGACUAAGUGGCAAUCAGGUCAUAGCCGCGGCGACGCAGCUGUAGGACGCUUUAAAGGGAAACCGCCAUGCCGGCGACGGCGCGGCAGCGUCUUGGGAAAGCCUACCUGACCUUAAGCCGCAAAAUUUACUUUGCAGGUUGCCACCGUA